GGUCCUGUCGUUCAGCGGUAGGACGGGCAGCUCAUGACUGCGCAGACCCCGGUUCGAAUCCGGGCGGGACCA
rnacentral:tRNA from 1 species